CCAUAGGUAUACUUCAGCGUUCAUCGAUCUUUAUCUUACUGAGCAUAGUUGGCUCCAACCGCUUCUUUCCUUCGACAUCCACCUCCAUCGGACCACAUCAAAGCCUCAACAAAAGAAGCUGGUUCAGUCUAGUCUACAUCCUCAUUUUAAAAUUCAAAAGCCUCUACAAUAUUUAGCUAGCUUCAGAAUAGAUAAGACAAGUGUAACCAUCCGAUCUCAAAAAUUUUGGUUGAAAAUUCCAUUAUAUUGUGCCUAAAUAGGCCAUGUAACCUGUCAAAAAU
rnacentral:lncRNA from 1 species